UGCGUAGGCGGAAUGAUAAGUUAGGGGUGAAAGCCCCCGGCUCAACCGGGGAACUGCCAUUAAUACUGUCAUUCUUGAGUAUAGUUGAAGUGGGCGGAAUGUAUCAUGUAGCGGUGAAAUGCUUAGAUAUGAUACAGAACACCGAUAGCGUAGGCAGCUUGCUAAACUAUAACUGACGCUCAGGCACGAAAGCGUGGGGAGCAAACAGGAUUAGAUACCCUGGUCGUCC
rnacentral:rRNA from 1 species